GACAGAGGGGGCAAGCGUUGCUCGGAAUUACUGGGCGUAAAGGGCGCGUAGGCGGGAAGGCAAGUCGGUCGUGAAAUCCUUCGGCUCAACCGAAGAACGUCGAUCGAUACUGCUGUUCUUGAGGGUUGCAGAGGAGACUGGAAUUCCCGGUGUAGCGGUGAAAUGUGUAGAGAUCGGGAGGAACACCGGUGGCGAAGGCGGGUCUCUGGGCAAUUCCUGACGCUGAGGCGCGAAAGCGUGGGGAGCAAACGGG
rnacentral:rRNA from 1 species